rnacentral:tRNA from 1 species
AGCUAGGUGGCUCAGUGGAUAGAGCACCAGCCUUGAAAUCAGGAAGUGAAUCAGACACUUAAUACUUCCUAGUUA